rnacentral:rRNA from 1 species
UACGGAGGGUGCGAGCGUUGUCCGGAAUCACUGGGCGUAAAGGGCGCGUAGGCGGCGCGACAAGUCAACGGUGAAAGCUCGAUGCUCAACAUCGAGUCGGCCGUCGAUACUGUCGGGCUGGAGCACUGUAGAGGCUCAUGGAAUUCCGGGUGUAGCGGUGGAAUGCGUAGAGAUCCGGAAGAACACCGGUGGCGAAGGCGGUGAGCUGGGCAGUUGCUGACACUGAGGCGCGACAGCGUGGGGAGCAAACAGG